GUGGAUCGAACCGCUCACGUCCUGGUUCAAUCAGGUACUAGGAUUCCCCAUCCCAUACUAGGUAUGAGAUUAGUACUUUCAAACACUUGAUCACGAAUACUAUCACAUCUCGACCUUAGUCCAAUUUCAAGUAGACAGACGGGGCAAUCCACCGACCACCAAAAUAGUUCACAAGGCCCUACCCCGUCCACCGUCCUUAUAGUGGUGAUAAAGGAGAACAAGCAACUCCUAUAACUCGCGAGUGACAGGGAAUCACUCAAUUUUUACCGAGUCCUAUUAAGCACUGCAACUACUCGGCCUAUCAUACUAGUAUUCAGAUCAAGGGAAACUAAGUCAUGCAUCUAUGGUUUCAAACAACUCCUAUAACGUAAAUGCACAUACAUACAAAUGAAGGCAUGCGCAAGUUUAGAAAGAUUGGGUUAUGCUCCGGGGCUUGCAUUCGAGCGGGGUGGAAGCGAACAGGUCUCCGGUGCUCUC
rnacentral:lncRNA from 1 species